AUGCUACAUAGGACAAAUGCAAAUUGCAACCAAAUCAGUACCAAGCUCAUAACCAUAGCCUUACCAUCCACCCUGAAAAUGGCAUUGCAUCUGUACUUUGUACAUCAGUUCCAACUCAAGCAUCCUCAUAGCGUUGCAUAUGUACUUUGUACAUCAGUUCCAACUCAAACUUUCCACAGGCGCAGAAUGUAUUCAACAGUUAUGAAUGCAGAGAAAACCAGUACAAAUUUGAACAAAACCAGUACAAAAACGAUGUUGAGAAUGCAGAGAAAACCAGUACAAAAAUUAAACAGUUAG